AGUGCAAUUGCUGGAUUGUAUGGUAAGAGUAUAUCUAGUUUUGGAAGAAACUGCCAAGCUGUCUUACAAAGUGGCUGUACCAUUUGGCAUUCCCACUAGCAAU
rnacentral:pre_miRNA from 1 species